UAGUAAUGGCAGGUCAGCAUACUGCCGUGAAUACGUUCCCGGGCCUUGUACACACCGCCCGUCACACCAUGAGAGUUGGGAAUACCCGAAGCCUGUGAGCCAACUGUAAAGAGGUAGCAGUCGAAGGUAGAAUCAAUGAUUGGGGUGAAGUCGUAACAAGGUAGC
rnacentral:rRNA from 1 species